UACAGAGGGGGCAAGCGUUGUUCGGAAUUACUGGGCGUAAAGGGCGCGUAGGCGGCCUUCUAAGUCGAGCGUGAAAUCCCCGGGCUCAACCCGGGAACUGCGUCCGAUACUGGAAGGCUUGAAUCCGGGAGAGGGAUGUGGAAUUCCAGGUGUAGCGGUGAAAUGCGUAGAUAUCUGGAGGAACACCGGUGGCGAAGGCGACAUCCUGGACCGGUAUUGACGCUGAGGCGCGAAAGCCAGGGGAGCAAACGGG
rnacentral:rRNA from 1 species